GGGGCAACUGACCCCGGGGGCCAUCUGACCCAGCCGGGGCUUGGGUGGGGUGCAGGCAGGAGGGCAGACUGGAUCUGCAUCCGUACUAAAGCUGGAACCUUCAAGGGGCGCUGGGGUGG